AUUGAACGCUGGCGGCAUGCCUUACACAUGCAAGUCGAACGGUAACAGGUCUUCGGAUGCUGACGAGUGGCGAACGGGUGAGUAAUACAUCGGAACGUGCCUAGUAGUGGGGGAUAACUACUCGGAAGAGUGGCUAAUACCGCAUGAGAUCUACGGAUGAAAGCAGGGGAUCGCAAGACCUUGUGCUACUAGAGCGGCCGAUGGCAGAUUAGGUAGUUGGUGGGAUAAAAGCUUACCAAGCCGACGAUCUGUAGCUGGUCUGAGAGGACGAUCAGCCACACUGGGACUGAGACACGGCCCAGACUCCUACGGGAGGCAGCAGUGGGGAAUUUUGGACAAUGGGCGAAAGCCUGAUCCAGCAAUGCCGCGUGCAGGAUGAAGGCCUUCGGGUUGUAAACUGCUUUUGUACGGAACGAAAAGCCCUGGGUUAAUGCCCUGGGGUCAUGACGGUACCGUAAGAAUAAGCACCGGCUAACUACGUGCCAGCCGCCGCGGUAA
rnacentral:rRNA from 1 species